rnacentral:rRNA from 1 species
AUUGAACGCUGGCGGCAGGCCUCACACAUGCAAGUCGAGCGAACGGCGGACGGGUGAGUAAUGUCUGGGGAUCUGCCCUUUAGAGGGGGAUAACUCCUGGAAACGGUGUCUAAUCCCGCAUCCUCUCAGAUUACCCCAUAUGGGCUUAGCUUGUAGGUGGGGUAAAGGCGCACCUCGGCGACGAUCUCUAGCUGGUCUGAGAGGAUGACCAGCCACACUGGGACUGAGACACGGCCCAGACUCCUACGGGAGGCAGCAGUGGGGAAUAGUGCACAAUGGGCGCAAGCCUGAUGCAGCCAUGCCGCGUGUAUGAAGAAGGCCUUAGGGUUGUAAAGUACUUUCAGCGGGGAGGUGUUACCCGCAGAAGAAGAACCGGCUAACUCCGUGCCAGCAGCCGCGGUAAUAC